ensembl:rRNA 5S_rRNA 5S ribosomal RNA
GACUACAGCCAUGCCACCCUGAACCCGCCUGAUCUCGUCUGAUUUUGGAAGCUAAGCAGGGUCGGGUCUUGGUAAUUCUUGGAUGGGAGACCACCUGGGAAUACUGGGCGCUGUAGGAG